UCGGGAAUUUUGCGCAAUGGACGAAAGUCUGACGCAGCAACGCCGCGUGAGGGAUGAAGGCCUUCGGGUUGUAAACCUCUUUUUCCAGGGAAGACGUCAAGGUCGAAUAAACCUUGGUAAUGACGGUACCGGAAGAAUAAGCACCGGCUAACUAC
rnacentral:rRNA from 1 species